AUAGCACAGCCGACCUACACAACACUUUUUAAUCUUUAUAAUAAUAUUUAGAUUCAGCUAUUUUUUUCUUAUCUUUUGUAUUUCUGUUUUUAAUUAUUGUUUUUAACUUUAAUAUAAUUAUUAUUCUUUAUUGUCUUUUUUUAACACACCCUCAAGAGUAUGCCAUGAGUAGUUUUUAUUUGUCAGUUAACUUCAUAUGAAGUAAAUCAGACGAGUAUUUGCUGUGACCUCUUUGUCUUUACAGCAGCACCAGUUCUCCUCAGUGCACCUGCACACAGUUCUUCAGGUACUUGGCAGAAUUAAUUUGGGACCAAUCAGACGUCUCCGUGACGGUACUACAUGAUGGAGGUGAACCCAAACAUCUGGACUGGAUGACAAGUGUCCAAAACUAUUGCACUGUACUGCAUUAAAAUGGCAUGUGAAAAAUAACACCUUUAAAUCUUAAAUAAAUACCAACCAUGGAAAAUGG